AAAGGUUCAAGUUUGGGGUUGUACGGGGGAAAAUUGAAAAAUCAAAUGAAAGGCAUUGAGUUCAAUUGUUUUGAAAAGAGAAAAAUUCAUGAGAAAAAUAAAAGAAAAGAAGAAAAGCAUGAAGAUGAGCUCAAUGAAAAAGAAAAGAAAAGGGAAAAAGUUGGGAAUGAGAGACAUUGGUGAGAGAGUUGUGCUUAAAUGUUGAAUAUUUUGAUAGCUCUCUUGACUCAAGG
rnacentral:lncRNA from 1 species